AACGAACGCUGGCGGCAUGCCUAACACAUGCAAGUCGAACGAGACCUUCGGGUCUAGUGGCGCACGGGUGCGUAACGCGUGGGAACCUGCCCUUAGGUUCGGAAUAACUCCCCGAAAGGGGUGCUAAUACCGGAUAAUGUCUUCGCACCAAAGAUGUAUCGCCUUUGGAUGGGGCCGCGUUGGAUUAGCUAGUUGGUAGGGUAAAAGCCUACCAAGGCGACGAUCCAUAGCUGGUCUGAGAGGAUGAUCAACCACACUGGGACUGAGACACGGCCCAGACUCCUACGGGAGGGAGCAGUGGGGAAUAUUAGACAAUGGGCGAAAGCCUGAUACAGCAAUGCCGCGUGAGUGAUGAAGGCGUUAGGGUUGUAAAGCUCUUUUAGCCGGGAUGAUAAUGACGGUACCGGGAGAAUAAGCUCCGGCUAACUCCGUG
rnacentral:rRNA from 1 species